CUCAAACAUUUUGGGGCUUGACCCCUUUUCCUUUCAUUCCCUGUAUCAGGGGUGGCGAACUAAGGUGCUGGAAGGCCAAUGUCUAGGAGAGUCUGGUGACUUUCCUGCUCUUAACACACCAACAAACCACCAAAACUGUGCAGGACUCAAUUCAUCCAGGACCAGAGUGUGCCAGCACAGGCAAUGGUGGUAAGAGGAACCAGGGAGAGAUGGAACGAGUUUUUCCACCUACAGCCAUGACAUCAUUGGUCUAAUACUGAAAGCAAGAAGUGGAUGAGGACAUAAUUCCACCAUAAGAAGGGCAGAAAGACAUAUGCAAGUCACUGAAACCCACAAGGGACGUCACCACCAUCCACAGGCUUUGUCGUGACGAUAGAUUAACCCCAAAACAAAACAUGGUUCCAUUGACUUACAUUCAAAGAUUAUGGAUUCUACUCAUUCUGGAGAGUCUUCCUUACAGCUGGAAGUCCCCAAAUAAAAGCUGCUCAGCUAUUUAUUACAAAUUUUACACAUUUAAGUCUGAAA